rnacentral:rRNA from 1 species
GAUGAACGCUGGCGGCGUGCCUAACACAUGCAAGUCGAGCGAUUCUCUUCGGAGAAGAGCGGCGGACGGGUGAGUAACGCGUGGGUAACCUGCCCUGUACACACGGAUAACAUACCGAAAGGUAUGCUAAUACGAGAUAAUAUGCUUUUAUCGCAUGGUAGAAGUAUCAAAGCUCCGGCGGUACAGGAUGGACCCGCGUCUGAUUAGCUAGUUGGUAAGGUAACGGCUUACCAAGGCGACGAUCAGUAGCCGACCUGAGAGGGUGAUCGGCCACAUUGGAACUGAGACACGGUCCAAACUCCUACGGGAGGCAGCAGUGGGGAAUAUUGCACAAUGGGCGAAAGCCUGAUGCAGCAACGCCGCGUGAGCGAUGAAGGCCUUCGGGUCGUAAAGCUCUGUCCUCAAGGAAGAUAAUGACGGUACUUGAGGAGGAAGCCCCGGCUAACUACGUGCCAGCCGCCGCCGUAAAAC